GCGAGGGAGGGAAAAGGGGGACACACGGUGGGCACUGUAACUGUAGGUGGGAUUGACUGUAGGCCCUUUCCUGUUAAGAUUUCCAAGGUGGACUCUUGUUCCCCUUUUUCAACAAUUUGCUCUAUUAGCUUAUCGUCAUUAUGUUCUUUUGUACUAGUAUAUGAGGGAUUGACAGUAAAACUUACUAUAGGUAUUGGGGUCUUCAUAAACAGUCUUUAGAACUAAGGGGGUGGGGGUCAGACCCAUAUUAGACAUUUUAGGAUUGUGUCUUUUUGUGUGCAUAAAUCUGUAAAUUGAAAUCUCCCUAAAGAUAUUUUUUAUUGUAUUCUAUUGCAUUGAAUUGUAACUAAUUAUCAUGUUGUUUUUUUUGUAUUGCUUGAACCUUAUGGGUGUAAUUUUGGAACAAAGAUUUAUAUAUAUAUAGCUUGUUUUCUUACUUAGCUGUAUAUAGAUAGUCUUCUCCUUACGUCACCAGCCACUUAAAAAUUCUGUUUCUUUAAUAGUCAAAAUAUUAUUGCCUGGUGCACUGAGGUCAAUGUCAGCAUUUAUAUUUAUUAUAAAAUGUUGUUAUUUUUGGUGCUGUUUUUUUUUUUUUUUUUUUAUAAUAACACGUCUAUUGUCUAGAAUGAAUAUAUUAUUGUUGGAUGUAAAUGUUUACAAUCAUAUUAUGUAUGCGUUAUAUACCUAAUUUCGUUCAGAAACAUCUAUUACGGGGAGAAGUGUUUGAAAUUAGAUUGGGUUUAGAGAAUGGUCCGAAAUCUGAGUGUACGGAUUAAGAAUCUUACGGACUAAGAGUCAACGCGGAGAAGUAUAUGAAAUUUGAGUGGACGCGGAGAAGUAUUUGAAAUUUGAGUAGACGACAGAAGUAUCUAAAAUCUGAGUGGACGCGGAGAGGUAUAUGAAAUUUGGGUAGACGGCAGGAGAAGUAUCUGAAAUCUGAGUGGACGCGGAGAAGUAUCUGAAAUCUGAGUGGACAGGGAGAGGAUCUGAAAUCUGAGUGGACGCAGAGAGGGUCUGCAAUCUGAGUGGAGUAGUUAAAAAUUUUACUUCUACAUUUCAGACGGUUUAUGGCAAAGGCUGAAAAUACAUAAUUGUAAUAUAAUCCACAUGAACAGAAUGAAUGACAAAUGAUAUACAAUAGAACGAUUGGAGGUUAUUUCCAUAAUAUACUUAUUUUUAUUUAUAUUUAUAUAAUAUAUCAUGUUCUAAAAACAGAUAAGAGACUUUAAAAAUACUGUAUUUAUGCAAAUCUUAGUUUUGUUUUGGCGUUAAAUGGCCCGAAUUCCGUUAUUAUUAUUCCAUAUUUAAAGAUUACAUAAAUUUAAAUAAAAUUUGUUUUUAUUAACUUAAAUUAUUUGCAUUUUCGUAAUUUUAGCUAAUUGUUUACCAUUUUGUUUACAAAGCUGUGUAUUCAUUGAUGCAACACUUAAAGGACCAUGUAAUCUUUGUAUCUUAUUCUUGUUGAUUAAUUAAAAGCGCACCUGUCGGCAGCUGAAUAUGUCCUUGACCUUUGAAUCAUAACAAAAAAACACCAGUUGCACCUUUGUUCUAUAGAAAAGACACUUGCAAAAGGUUAUUGGGUCAGUUUG
rnacentral:lncRNA from 1 species